CCCUUAGAUGUUCUGGGCCGCACGCGUGCUACACUGAGUGGAUCAGCGGGUCAGGUUGCGCGAAAGCGUUUCCUAAUCUUUAAAUCCGCUCGUGAUGGGGAUUGACGGUUGCAAUUUUCUGUCAUGAACGAGGAAUACCUUGUAAGCACGGGUCAUCAUCCCGCGCUGAAUACGUCCCUGCCCUUUGUACACACCGCCCGUCGCUCCUACCGAUUGAGUGGUCCGGUGAGGCUUUGGGAUCUGAGCGGAAAGAGCGUUUCGCUGUUUCUGCUCGGAAAACUCAGUCGAACCUUAUCAUUUAGAGGAAGGAGAAGUCGUAACA
rnacentral:rRNA from 1 species